CUGCGAUCUCGGACAGCUUCUUCCCUUCCUCGUCUCGUCUCCAUUCCUGUGCACAUUGUACUACUUCUUUCUCGGCUCACUCACCGGCCCGGCGACUACGAAAAGAGGAAUAGAGGAGGCACACACACACACACACACACACACACACACACACACACACACACACGUGCGCGCAUCAACAGUGGCGUGGCGGCAUUUUUCCCGCUUGUUCUCCCUCAGUCACAUACGCCCUCCCUCUAUUCUUCCUUUGUACCUGGCGUUUACUGUGUUUUAUGUUGUGAAGUCGGCGCGACAGCUCUCACCACAGCAGGAGUUGAGAACCGAAGGAGGGAUGCCCGGCUCACCGGUGGAUAGAAAGCCUGAGGCCUCGAGAAACGGUGGGCAGAAGGGUGCCGCUGAGCAUCUGCAGCCGCCGCGCAGGCCUUCAAAGACGCCGUCUGAAGAAGGCGCCGAGUCGCCCCUGCGGCAGUCGCAGGAGCUCUCCGAGACCCCGACCACUGCCGCCACCGGCACCAGUGCGAGCAUUGUCAUCGAUCCCACAAAGGAUCUCUGGCAGAACAUCACGCGAAAUGUCAAGGACGCUAACGUCGAGCAGACGGAGACGAGCCUGGUCAUGGUCGGAGCCUCUGGCAGCGGCAAGACGACUCUUCUCCACCGCAUCUAUACCUCUUUUCAGAGCAGCUCGAGUGGAUCUGGCCCUAAGAGGGUAAAGGCGACGACGGCGCUGGACUACAGCUUCGCCCGCCGAUCGGAGCGCAACGUGGCGCCCGUGGCACAUUUCUGGGAGAUCGCGCAAGGGACGCAGUUCUCGCAGCUGCUGGACAUUGUGUUGACGCCGGAGAACGUGCACGCCGUGGCGGCGGCGGUGGUGGUGGACGCGAGUGAAGAAGGGCUGCCGGUGGCAUGGGAGACAGCCACGUACUGGUUGCGCCGGCUCGACCAGCGCGUCAGCGAUAUUUCGCAGCGCAUGAAGGCGAAGGGGUCGACCACGCCAGCGAAAAUCCUGACCCGUGCGCAGAAGGCUAUCGGGCUCGACCAUCCAGAUCUGAAGCGCAUGCGACUCAGCGGGAUUCCGACGGUGCUUGUCGUCAACAAGAUCGACGCGUUCCGUGGCGACAUGCAGCAAUUGAAACUCUUGUGCCGUAGCAUGCGCUACCUCGCCCACCUGUACGGCGCCCACGUCGUCUUCACCAGCGAGCAGGAGAGCGUGCGAUGGCGCGCGCUGAUGAACUUCACUCUCUUUCAAGCCCCGUUCGACCCCAAGUACUUGCAGACAGAUCCGGAGCGGAGUGCCGUGUUGCUGACGGUCGACCGCGACAGUUUCUUGGACAUUGGCGACCCCGAUGUGAGUCGGCUCGGCGGCAGCGUCAGUACCGGCGACGCGGAACUGGAUCGCUGGAAGGCGCCCUUUGACGAGGCGUUUCCGCCAAAGAAGCUGAACGAGGAGGACAAGGUAGUGGACGAUCCUUUCAUCCGCCGCCUGUACGACACAGCGGAGGGCGGCUUCGGCGAUCCGGUGAUCGACGCCUUGCGCAAGCAGAAGGAUGAGGAGCUGGAGCAGUACCGCAAGAAGAGCAGCAACGCCGCCAACGCCAGCAAGGCCAAGUGAGGCGCUGCUGGGAAAGGUUAAAAAGGACAGAGGGGCGUGUGCGGCGCUUGUCGGCGGUACCGCUGCUAAGUUUCUCCUCUCCCCCCUCCCCAAAACAAAGAGCAGACAAAGGCGCGGCUGUGUGGAGUUGGUGGCACUGCUGAUGCAUCAGCUGCCGCGCAGCACGCUGCAGACUGUUUUUUGGGUACGCGUCUGCGGGCCGUUGGUUUUUGUAUGCCAUGCUUAGACGAUUCGGUGUGCAUGCGUAUGUGUACAUGCGUCUGUCGAUGUAGAGGAAGCGGCGCCCCCUCGAUUGCUCUGUGCGCGUUGUGAUGACACUCUCUCUUGCGUGGCGGUAGCGGCGUUGGGAGGAGAACGCAUAGCGACUUUGACACCCCUGCGGUGGGACCCGCCAGGUGUGUUAAGCGUGGUGCAUGUGUGCUAGUAUGCGGGUAUGUGUGUGCGCGUCGGUCUUUCGCCGCCUUUCUCUCGACUUUCCUGCAUGAUCGCGUUCUCCAUCUCCGCCACACCGACCAUCUCUUGCCAGCUCCCUGCACCUCUUGCCUCCGUCUUCAGCCUCCGAUGGAGAACACAAGGAUACGGCGAUGGGGGAGUAGGCACGGUAGGGAAAGGGCUAUCGCGUCCCUUGUCAAGGCCCACCUGACGCGACAAAACACCCACAGCAACGAGACGGACGAAACAAACCCAACCUGCUG
rnacentral:misc_RNA from 1 species